AUCCGAUCCAAGAUGGGUAUGGGGCUUGUACGGAUAUUAUUUUUUUCUAUCGGGAUAGAUAUAGGUAUUGGUCAAUCCGACCAUAUACGAUCCAUUGUCACCUCUAACUGUAUGGUACUAUUCAUCUCUCAUGGUACCUAUUGGGAUAUACCGACUGAUCCCUAUACAUCGAUCUAUCCUCGAAACGAUCCGACCGACGCCCG
rnacentral:lncRNA from 1 species